AAAAGGGGUUUUUUCGUGUUAAGAUACAGAGAGAAGGAGUGGAGAUUGUUCUUCGGGGAAAGAUAUACAUUAGGGAGCUAAUCUUUCAUAAUUCUUGAAGAAAUACGUGAUAAGAUUAAUAAUUCAGAGUAUUGACCCAGCAAAACAAGAGCUUAAUUUCUUGAGUAAGAGGUGUUUGGAAGGAGAAUCUGGAAUGAAGAAGUACGGUCUGCAGCUUAGGGUUCCACCAUCCCAACAGAAAAAGCAAUCCAAACCUCCCUUGCAUCCUCUUAUAUUUUCAGACGACAUUGAUGAAGACAUCGGUGGAGACAUUGCUCGCCAAGCUGUCAAUAAGAAGGUUCUCAGAGAUGUUGAAGAGCAGCACAAAAAAGCCUUGGAAGAGGAUCCAUCGGUUUUUGACUAUGAUGGGGUCUAUGAAGAAAUGAAAGAGAGAACAGCACGCCCUAUCAUACAGGAUCGUCAAGAGAAACAGUCAAAAUACAUCCACACUUUACUGGCGAAGGCUAAAGAAAGAGAACGAGAGCAUGACGUUGCAUAUGAGAGGAAACUUGCUAAAGAGAGAAACAAAGAUGACCAUCUCUUUGGAGACAAAGAAAAGUUCGUCACAGGUGCGUACAAGAGAAAACUUGCAGAGCAGGCAAAAUGGUUGGAAGAAGAACGAAUACGCGAGCUUCGUGAGGAAAAAGAUGAUGCUACCAAGAAAAGUGACAUUAGUGACUUCUACUUCAACCUUGGGAAAAAUGUCGCUUUUGGUGCUGGAGGGGUUGAAUCUAGUGUGGCAGCGAAAAAGGAAGUGAAAGUUAUUGCCGAUACCUCAGAAAGAGAUGUUAGUCCCGUGAUGGAACCACCUUCAAGCUCUAGACGUGAGAAAGAUGGUGAUCGAGCUGGCUUUUCUGCUCCUUCUGAGACAAAUGUUGACACUUCAGACGGGAAAUUUGUACCCACUGACAGUCUUCAAGUAAGCAAUGUAGUGCCUAAACCAAUUGCCGAUCAAUCAGACCAGGAUCUUCAUAAAAAACCUGAAGCCGCAUUAUCUGCAGCGAAAGAACGUUUUAUGGCGCGGAAAAGAGCAAAACAACAAUAGCGUUUGGUUGAUGGAGCAGAUGAGUACCUCAAGUUGGAGUCUGUCAUAUAUGAGUAACUUCAGUAUCAAAGGAGAGAAACAUUUCGGAGAUCAGAUUGGUUGUUAUAGAGAUGACUCAAUCUUUGCUUAAGGAGGAAAUGUCGAAGCUCACCCCUAUAUCCAGUUGGACCAGGUUCCUUUUUACCUUCCUAUUUAAAUGAUUUUUUUUGUUGUUUUGUUGAUAACGAUGUCUUGGUGAUGAUGGUGCAGUCAUGGUUGUUAUACGGUGGCAGUGUUAUUCUUAUUCAGCUUUCAAAUCACAAGAAUACUACAGAUGACUUAGUCUUAUUAGUCUCUUUAUACAACAACUAGAUAGAGUCCUGGUAAUCCCUAGCCUUCUUGGAAGAACAAUUAUAUUUAAACAUCGUCUACCUCAUUAUCCAGAAGCCUCCAUGAACCAUCAGAAUCUUGUACCAUGCCCUUGUUCUGUUCACACCACCACGAUUCUGGAAUGUGGUAUAUGUCUUUCAAGUUGUUUGUUUUUUUAUUUAUCAGCGCGAGAUCACGGCAUACUUGCAAUUUAAACUCUUCAUUACCCUGUGAUCCUGCAACUCCAUGAAGGUAAGCCUCCAAGUUAUGCCAACUUGAAAAAUCUCCUGGCCCCUUCAAGUAUGGAGACUUAUGUGUAUCAAUAGUUAACUCCACACCCGGGUCAGAGUAACCUACUAAUGGCCAGUGUGGUACAAAGUCAAGUGCAUUACGGAUGCGCAACAGUCUGAGAUCUUCCAUUCCUGAAAUGACAUGUUUGAAGUUUUCAUCUCCUACUCUUGGACUGGCAAAAACGAUUGCAGUGACUGGAAACGAUUUAUUUGGCUCCUUGGAUUUGUUGUAUUCAUUUGCAACAAUGUCAGCUGCAUUUAGGGUUCCAAGUGCACCCCCCAAACUAUGUCCGGUUACAGUUAUACUGAUUUCUUCAUUCUUGAAUGCUUCGACUAACCUUCUUACUUCAGCAAGAACCUGCAUUUGUUUAUAUAUAUCAUUUGCAGUUAGUACAUGUUGAUAUCAAUGAUGGCACCUUUUUGAAAGACUAUAAAUAGAUCAUCAAAUAAAAAACCAAGG